UCUCUCGUAGCUUAGUGGUCAGAGCAUUCGUGCGUAAAGCCAAAGUACCCGGUUUCGAUUCCCGACGGGGGUG
rnacentral:tRNA from 1 species